AGUGAACGCUGGCGGUAGGCCUAACACAUGCAAGUCGAACGGCAGCACAGUAAGAGCUUGCUCUUACGGGUGGCGAGUGGCGGACGGGUGAGGAAUACAUCGGAAUCUACUUUUUCGUGGGGGAUAACGUAGGGAAACUUACGCUAAUACCGCAUACGACCUACGGGUGAAAGCAGGGGAUCUUUGGACCUUGCGCGAUUGAAUGAGCCGAUGUCGGAUUAGCUAGUUGGCGGGGUAAAGGCCCACCAAGGCGACGAUCCGUAGCUGGUCUGAGAGGAGGAUCAGCCACAUGGGAGCUGAGACACGGUCCAGACUCCUACGAGAGGCAGCAGUGGGGAAUAUUGGACAAUGGGGGCAAGCCUGAUCCAGCCAUACCGCGUGGGUGAAGAAGGCCUUGGGGUUGUAAAGCCCUUUUGUUGGGAAAGAAAAGCAGCAGGUUAAUACCCCGCUGUUCUGACGGUACCAAAAGAAUAAGCACCGGCUAACUUCGUG
rnacentral:rRNA from 1 species